UGCCAGUAGUCAUAUGCUUGUCUCAAAGAUUAAGCCAUGCAUGUCUAAGUAUAAGCAACUAUACUGUGAAACUGCGAAUGGCUCAUUAAAUCAGUUAUCGUUUAUUUGAUAGUACCUUACUACUUGGAUAACCGUGGUAAUUCUAGAGCUAAUACAUGCGAAAAACCCCGACUUCGGAAGGGGUGUAUUUAUUAGAUAAAAAACCAAUGCCCUUCGGGGCUCACUGGUGAUUCAUAGUAACUAAACGAAUCGCAUGGCCUUGCGCCGGCGAUGGUUCAUUCAAAUUUCUGCCCUAUCAACUUUCGAUUGUAGAGUAGUGGUCUACAAUGGUUUCAACGGGUAACGGGGAAUUAGGGUUCGACUCCGGAGAGGGAGCCCGAGUAACGGCUACCACAUCCAAGGAAGGCAGCAGGCGCGCAAAUUACCCAAUCCCGACACGGGGAGGUAGUGACAAUAAAUACUGAUACAGGGCUCUUUUGGGUCUUGUAAUUGGAAUGAGUACAAUUUAAAUCCCUUAACGAGGAACAACUGGAGGGCAAGUCUGGUGCCAGCAGCCGCGGUAAUUCCAGCUCCAGAAGCGUAUAUUAAAGUUGUUGCAGUUAAAAAGCUCGUAGUUGAAACUUGGGCCUGGCUGGCCGGUCCGCCUCACCGCGUGCACUGGUCCGGCCGGGCCUUUCCUCCUGGGGAUCCGCAUGCCCUUUACUGGGUGUGUUGGGGAACCAGGACUUUUACUUUGAAAAAAUUAGAGUGUUCAAAGCAGGCCUUUGCUCGAAUACAUUAGCAUGGAAUAAUAAAAUAGGUUGGCUUUCCUAUUUUGUUGGUUUCUAGGGGAGCCAAAAUGAUUAAUAGGGUCAGUCGGGGGCAUCAGUAUUCAAUUGUCAGAGGUGAAAUUCUUGGAUUUAUUGAAGACUAACUACUGCGAAAGCAUUUGCCAAGGAUGUUUUCAUUAAUCAGUGAACGAAAGUUAGGGGAUCGAAGACGAUCAGAUACCGUCGUAGUCUUAACCAUAAACUAUGCCGACUAGGGAUCGGGCGAUGUUACUAUCUUGACUCGCUCGGCACCUUACGAGAAAUCAAAGUUUUUGGGUUCUGGGGGGAGUAUGGUCGCAUGGCUGAAACUUAAAGAAAUUGACGGAAGGGCACCACCAGGAGUGGAGCCUGCGGCUUAAUUUGACUCAACACGGG
rnacentral:rRNA from 1 species